GAUUGGUUACUUGUAGCUUUAUACAAUGGGGCAUGUAGCUAAUAUUUAGUUGCAGAAUCGAGUGAGAUAACGCCGAAUGCAAAACAGCGAAACACGGACAAAUUAGCUUCUUAUGUCGCGAAAUAUCCUAUUUUUAAAACUGAUGGCGUCGUAUUGUUUUGCAAAGCUUGCGACAAGUCAGUGUCGUCAGAAAGAUUAUAAUCUUUGCAACCGCAUGUUGCAAGUUUGGCACAUAGUGAAGCCAAAAAAAAAAAAAUCAUCAACAAGUACGCAGCCAUUAUUAACUCAAACCACAAGUUCCAAUCAAAAUCAGUUCGCGCAAAGCAUUAGUUGCAUCGGACAUUCCACUUUACAAAUGAAGGAAUGAAAACCUAAAAAGUUUUUUUUGGAAAAUAUGUAGAUUUAAUUAUUCCUUCUGAAACCUGAAUUAUAGUUUAGAUAGAAGUUA